UACAGAGGUCCCAAGCGUUGUUCGGAUUCAUUGGGCGUAAAGGGUGCGUAGGUGGCGCUGUAAGUCGGGUGUGAAAUUUCGGAGCUUAACUCCGAAACUGCAUUCGAUACUGCGGUGCUCGAGGACUGGAGAGGAGACUGGAAUUCAUGGUGUAGCAGUGAAAUGCGUAGAGAUCAUGAGGAAGACCAGUGGCGAAGGCGGGGCUCUGGACAGUUCCUGACACUGAGGCACGAAGGCCAGGGGAGCAAACGGG
rnacentral:rRNA from 1 species